rnacentral:misc_RNA from 1 species
UAAUAAGUGUUUUAUUGCACUUUUUUAAAUCCAUAUCCACCUUGUGUGCAAUGUCAGUCGAUCUUCUUUAUGGAGAUUGGCCAAACAUCAACCAUAUCUUUUAACUCUUUGUCUGAAAAAUAUUAUGAAUAAACAAUUCAAAAUA